rnacentral:rRNA from 1 species
AUUGAACGCUGGCGGCAUGCCUUACACAUGCAAGUCGAACGGCAGCACGGGAGCAAUCCUGGUGGCGAGUGGCGAACGGGUGAGUAAUAUAUCGGAACGUGCCCAGUAGUGGGGGAUAACUGCUCGAAAGAGCAGCUAAUACCGCAUACGACCUGAGGGUGAAAGGGGGGGAUCGCAAGACCUCUCGCUAUUGGAGCGGCCGAUAGCAGAUUAGCUAGUUGGUGGGGUAAAGGCCUACCAAGGCAACGAUCUGUAGUUGGUCUGAGAGGACGACCGGCCACACUGGGACUGAGAAACGGCCCAGACUCCUACGGGAGGCAGCAGUGGGGAAUUUUGGACAAUGGGCGCAAGCCUGAUCCAGCAAUGCCGCGUGCAGGAAGAAGGCCUUCGGGUUGUAAACUGCUUUUGUCAGGGAAGAAAUCCUCUAGGUUAAUACCCUUGGGGGGAUGACGGUACCUGAAGAAUAAGCACCGGCUAACUACGUGCCAGCAGCCGCAGUAAAAC